UACAGAGGUCUCAAGCGUUGUUCGGAUUCAUUGGGCGUAAAGAGCGCGUAGGCGGCCCUGUAAGUCCGCUGUGAAAGUCAAGGGCUCAACCCUUGGAUGCCGGUGGAUACUGCAGGGCUAGAGUCCGGAAGAGGCGAGUGGAAUUCCCGGUGUAGUGGUGGAAUGCGUAGAGAUCGGGAGGAACACCAGUGGCGAAAGCGGCUCUCUGGUCCAAAACUGACGCUGAGGGGCGAAAGCGUGGGGAGCGAACGGG
rnacentral:rRNA from 1 species